CAGCUUUGCUCUACUCUGUAUGCACUUUUAAUAGCUGGGCCAGGCCAUUCCUUCAGAGGAGCUUGGGAUUUCUAUUCUUUUCAGGUGGGUUAAUGACGAAGGGCUCUGUUAGGCUGUCAAGGCGCCCAGGAGAGGAUGCUCACAGGAAUACUAAGGAUCAGUGCUGAGAAGGGAAAGUUCUUCACAAAGGAUGCUUGAGACAUUUCUGUCCGCGAGCUGCUUCUCUGUAGAUUCCUCCAACUCUCGGGCAUCUCCUGGAACAGUGGUUGUUAAACAAGUUAAGAAUCUUUAGGCUGGUCUGUGAUGGUUCACACCUCUGAUCCCAGCACUCCGGAGGCAGGGGGAGGUGGGUUUCUGAGUUUAAGG
rnacentral:lncRNA from 1 species